GCACAAAGUCCUCCUCCAGUCCACAGGGCGCAAAGAGUCGGACAUGGCUGAGCGACUUCACUUUCACUUCAGGGGAAUAAAGAAAACUAGUGUUUCCCAUACUUAUUUUCAUUGAACACACAAAUAACACAGUUUACAGCUAUUCUUUUUUUUAAAUAUAGCAUUAAGUAAUACAGUCAUUAGGCAUAUUUAUUUUGAUAUUAUUCCAAUAUUUAAGAAUAUGAAUGUGACUGAUACAUUAUUACAGAGUAGAUUAGCCUAUUCCAACUAACAUAGCACCUCUACCUACAACAGGGAAGGAAACGGAGUGAAGGAACAAAAACGCUCUCUGAAAAGGAAAGAAAAUGUUUUUCUCUGUAUCUUAUAUCUCUAAUGUAUGUGGGUCUAUAUUCCUGAUGUGUGUCAGGGAAUGAGAAUCAGUAUUAUCUAAAUAAGAAUGAAUACAAAUAACCAAAUAAUUAUGCAUUAGAAAACAUCAACUCAUUCCAUUUCUAAUUAUGAAACAUAAUGUAGAAAAUAGUAAAAUUCAUUUAAAACAAGAAAAUGUUAUUGCUCUUUUAAUAAUACCAACAUGUUAAUACAUUUCAUUGUCACUAAAAAUAAACUGUAAAAUACCAGCGAAUGAUUUUAAUGACUUUUCCCUAAUAUGUGUAAUCACUCAUGUAAUUUUUCAAGUGAUCAUUAUUACUUGAAAUUAUAUUUGAAUAAUAAUAAAUUAAGCUUAAAAAAUUAAAUAGUGCAAAGUUUUUUAUUUUAAGCUGCUAAUUUAGUGAGUGAUAAUUAUAUAAUGUGUCAUAACCCAAAAAAGACUACCAUGAAGCAUCUUUGAGAUGUCAGCAGCAUAGAUUGGUGGAGGGAAGGUGAAAACAAUGUAGAUUUGAAAACAGGUGUAGAUUUGACUCCCUCCAGGCCAGUAGUUAAAAUUCAAAACAGGUAUUCAAAUAAAUGAGGGAAAUUGAGGUUUGACAGUGGCAGAAUGGGGCAGAAUAGAAAGCAGUGGAUCAAACCAAAAGAUUUGAUCCGGUAAAUGGAUCAUGGUAGCAACCAAUCUUCACAUGAAAAAGAAUACAAUAGCCUCAACUUUGAAGAAAGAGACUUAUAUCUCUAAUUUAGUCAACACCAUUAGCAUAUGAUUUCCUUCUUUAAAUGCCUACACAAUGAUAAAUACGAGGUACUCAAAGAUACUUUGAUUUGUAGAUAUUGGAUAGGUGGCUAGGUCUACUUACUACCUAGUAAUACACUAAUAUGGCAUGGAAUUCCAUUUUAUACCUCAAAAAAUCACAAAUUCUUAUAUUAUAGAAAUUUGGAGUCUGUCCCAAAUAGUUGAAACCACAAACAUUAAACCUACCAAUGCCAAGAUUCUGUAACAUUUAAGAUGAGGUUGAUUCCUAACUGAAAAAUUCAGCUGUCAGUUCAGGGUACAAAGAGAAAAGCCCAGUCUUCUUUAAAAAUCUCUAAUGGUGGGGCUUCCCUGGUAGUCCAGUGGUUAAGAAUCCACUUGCCGAUGCAGGGGACAUGGAUUCGAUAUGGAACAACUAAGCCCGAGUGCCACAACUCCUGGAGCCCAUGAGCUUUAGGGCCCUCAAGCCACUACUGAGACUGUGUGCCCUAGAGCCUGGGCACUGCAACUACUGAAACUGGCAUGUGACUCUCAGGCUCUAGAGCACAGGCUCAAUAGUUGUGGCACAUGGGCUUUGUUGCUCUGUGGCAUGCAGGAUCUUCCUAGAUCAGGGAUCAAACCUGUGUCUCCUGCAUUGGCAGACAGAUUCUUCACCUCUGAGCUACUAGGGAAGCCCCACUUUCUACUUCUUGAUAAACUUUUUUUCACUUUCUCCCAAGACACAAAACUCCUAACACACUGGCUGCCUCUUCUGAGAUAUCGUUGUGUAUUCCUCAUUUUCUCCUCAUGUUUCUUUUGGGGGGAGGGGAGGGGCUCUUUUGCCUUUAAUUUUAGAGCACUUGAGGGCUUAGUUCUUGGAUUGUUUCUUUUUAUAUCUAUAAAUAUUCCCUUGGUGAUUUAGACUCGUGGUUUAAAAUAUUCCCUAUAUUUUGACAAUUCAGAAAUACACAUCUUCAGCUCGGCUCUCUCCAAAUUCCAGGCCUAUCUCUAACCCUGUGUAUACAUUAUUUCAAAAUUGUAUGUCCAACUGAACUUCCCAUCUUUCCCCUUAAAUGUCUUCUUGCAGCUUUCCCCAUCUUAAGUUAACAACAACUGUCCUUCUGGUUCUCUAAACACUAAGCUUGGAAUAAUCUUUUUAUCCUCUUUCACGCCUACAUCCAAUUGUUAAGCAAAUAAUCCUGGCAACUACUGGCAACCAUUCCCACUGGUGCAGUGUGAGCUGCAUUAAUCUCUCAUCCGGGAAUAUGAAGGUAGUCUAACUGAUCUCUCUAGCCCACCACUGCCCCUCUACAGUCUACUAGCAACACAGCAGCCUGUAUGAUCCUUCUAAAGUCUAUGAAAGUGAGUCAUCUAUUUGCUCAAAACUCAGCUAUCACAUUCCAUUGUCAAAUCUUUACAAAAGCUGACAAAGCCCUACAGGAUCUGUCCUGCCCACCUACCUCACUAUCUUUAUAGACUCAUCUCCAACUAUUCCGCCUUAUCAGUGACCUCCAGCUAUAUCGGCUUCUUCACUUUUCCUAGGACUUGUUACACAUUUCCAUCUUUCAUACAUAUAACUCAAGUCUGUAUAUUCACCUUCUCAAUGAGACCUACAUAGUCAACCAGUAAAUACGGGGUUUGAUGUCCAGGCUUCUAUUCCCUACUGUUGGUUUUCCUUAAAUGUCUGAAUUCCUUGAGCAUAUGUAUGUGUUUAUGAAGGAAUUCAAUUUGCAUAGAUGAGAAAAACAGUUUCUUCAACAGUAACGUAUGCCUGCAUUAGAGCUCCUUUUUCAAUAGGAGCUAUGGUUUCUUGUAAGUUGUCAGGGUAUUUCAACCUGCAAGCAACUGCAGGUAAGUAUGUAAUCAGGAUGCAGAAAUUAUUGCUCCCUACAUGUCAAAAUAUGGUUUUAUUUACUCUGGGACUGGAGUGUUACUAUUAUUCAACACCACCCUCUCCACCACCAAGUGAAAAUUCACCUCUGCUCAAUCUAUCAUGUCAUCUCAAUGCCCACAAUUGGGGAGCCUGCCCAGAAAUAAUCUUUUUCUUUGAAGAGUUACACUGAGUCUCUGACCUUAAGAAAAAGCUGUCAACAGUUUACCUGAAAGCAAAAGGGCAAGAGUUCCCAAUGAAGUUCUUCAAUGAAUUAACAUAAUUGAGCUCUGGCCCAUUUCUUCACUAAAAAUCUGAGACGUAAAAGCUUCUCCAACAUCUUAACUAUGGUUCUCAGAUUUACCUCUCAAUUCAAGCUCUUUGCUUUAUACCCUUUUAUAUCAUGCCUCAAAACUCCUGGAUGUUAUUUUAUGUUAUAAGCAUGUUCAUGGCUUCGUUUAGAUUAGAUCUGAUAGAGAGAGUGCCUGAAGAACUAUGGACUGAGGUUUGUGACAUUGUACAGGAGGCAGUGACCAUCCUCAAGAAAAAAAAUGCAUAAGGCAAAAUGGUUCUCUGAGGAGUCCUUAUAAAUAGCUGAGAAAAGAAGGGAAACUAAAGGCAAAGGAGAAAAUGAAAAGAUAUACCCAUUUGAGCAGAGUUCCAAAGAAGAGCAAGGAGAGAUACAAAAGCCUUCCUCAGUGAUCAAUGCAAAGAAAUAGAGGAAAACAAUAAAUUGAGAAAGGCUAGAGAUCUCUUCAAGAAAAUUAGAGAUACCAAGGGAACAUUUCAUG
rnacentral:lncRNA from 1 species